GCGGACGUGGCGAAAUUGGUAGACGCGCUGUCUUCAGGCGGCAGUGCCUUCGGGCAUGAAGGUUCGAGUCCUUUCGUCCGCACAA
rnacentral:tRNA from 2 species